GACUGGUUUGGUGUCCAUUCUCCAGGUCUUUUCCUGAGUUCCUAGUCAUAUUGGUAGAUGAAACUUCAAACAUGCAGUGAUUACUGAAGAGAGACAAGAAUGAGGCUGGAUAACACCUUCCCUACAGACUCAGUGAUGAAAUGCUUAAGGUUGGCCAUUUGACUACAGGAAUCACACAGACAGAGGAUCAAAGAGGAGCCAGAAUUUCAGGAAACCAGACAUCUGUAAAGAGGCAAUGAGAACCUUCGCUCAAGGACCUAGCUCGAGUUUGAAGAGAGAAUCCGGUGACCAGCAAGGCCAAAUGUUUACAGAUAAGGCUCAAAUAGUCCAACUCUUCUACAUCCUUAGGAGCAGACCAGUUUACAGAACAGCUGCUGUGUGUCCAUGUUAUUGUCAACGGCAUCUAGAAUCAUUGGAGACAUGGGCCUGUAGACAUGCUGUGGGGAAUUGUCUUUAGUUUGUUAGUAUGGAAAGAUCUGUCCACUGUGGGCAGAACUAUUCCCUGAUUGGGCUCCUGGACUGUGGUGCUUGGACUCCUUGCCAUCUGCUUUCUGUUUGUGGAUACAAUGUUACCAGCUUCUUCAAGCUCCUGUGGUCUUGACUUGCGAGAAUAAAACCUUUCUCCAUUAAGUUGCCUUUGUCAGAAUACUUUAGACAAAUAGCAAGGUAUCAGGCAACUGAGCUACAC
rnacentral:lncRNA from 1 species